rnacentral:lncRNA from 1 species
ACAAACUCAAAACAAGAUAGAUUCUGCUCAUAAGAGCUUAUUGACACAGAAAAUGAAAUAGCUUUAAGAAGCUUUAUUGUGCAAUGAAACUAAAGAAAGGAAGAAUCUUUAUGCUUGUCACCAAGAUAAGUAAGAUUGUAAAUGAUUCAUAAAUAUGAAGGGAGAGGCUGCAUUCAACGCAGCCUUCGUUACAUUGCAAAGUGACCUUACACAGAUAUUUAUAUCAACUCAAUAUGCUAGAAAACCUAGAUACAAUGAGCUUAGAUAAUGGGCUUCCGGUCUUUAUUUGGGCCUUGCUAAUACUCCCCCGCAAACUUAGCGUGGAUGGAGCAGCUACGCUGAGUUUGAAAGCACAGAUGGAUAUGGCUUGAAAUGAGCAUAAGUAGAUGAAGUAGGAUGCUUGAGAUGUUAGCAAAUGGUUCUACUCACCAUUGUAGACAAACAUUAGUGUGAGAUCUAUUCAGACCUAUACUUGGAGAGUAUCACAUGGCUUCACUCAGAGGUUUCUCUUGAACUUGGAGAGCUUAGUUGAUCUCACUCAGAGGUAUAAUUGUGGCCUAUUUGUCUCACUAUGAAUCUAGGUUUACUUUACCCAUUUCAUCCUUCUAAUGUGUCUAAUGAAGAACACUCUUUCCACACCUACCAAAUACAACUAUACUCACUCUCUGCUUCCCAUCAAUAUCACCAAAAUUCUGCCUCUAAACAAACUGACCUUCUUGUGAGCAUUUCAGCGAGCACUUUGUGUGCAUUAGCAUUAAAGCCAGAGCUUCCACACGCAACAAACCCAAACCUGCCUAUUUCAUUAUAGCUUCGGUUCCAAACCUAUCUUAACCCAAGAAUUUAAGCUAACCAGCAACUCAAUCCAACACAGAGACAUUUAUUUUUCAUCUUUUGUUCUGUCUCAGUAGAAAGAAAUAGACAAUACCGUCCAUAAAGUGAUGAGGAAGUCUUUCUUUCUUCUCUGUCUGUUCUGAGCCCUACUUCACAGCUUCAGCUUCAUCGCUACCCAGAAAACACACAGCUUCAUCUAACUGAAGCUUAAAGAAAACGUCUUGUUGUUCUGGUGUUGAAAAGGCUGGAUGAUUUCGUCCUCUUGCUUCAUGGAGUGAAUUGUACCAGCGUGACUGAAGGAGAGCAGCGUGAGUGAAGCAAGUUUGGAGCUUUAGUGACAGAAAGGGUUGUAUAUUGGAAGCUGGUGAAAAUAAAACCCAUAGAUCCAAGGAUUUACUCCCUGGUGCUCUGAUACCAUGUAGACAAACUCAAAACAAGAUAGAUUCUGCUCAUAAGAGCUUAUUGACACAGAAAAUGAAAUAGCUUUAAGAAGCUUUAUUGUGCAAUGAAACUAAAGAAAGGAAGAAUCUUUAUGCUUGUCACCAAGAUAAGUAAGAUUGUAAAUGAUUCAUAAAUAUGAAGGGAGAGGCUGCAUUCAACGCAGCCUUCGUUACAUUGCAAAGUGACCUUACACAGAUAUUUAUAUCAACUCAAUAUGCUAGAAAACCUAGAUACAAUGAGCUUAGAUAAUGGGCUUCCGGUCUUUAUUUGGGCCUUGCUAAUACAUACUUGGUGUACUUUAAAUGUAUAGAUUGAUUUCUAUUGUGAUACUUUAAUUUACAAGAUUUUUGUCGGUUUACUUCUUUUUUUUUAUCAGAGUCGGUUACUUCAAUGGUUCGAAUUUGCUUAUAUGAGAAACUGGAAUCAGCAUUGAACUGAUUCAAAGAUUAGGUUCAUUUAAAUUAGAGAAAAAGACUAGAAUAGCACCAAACCAAACAAAGUUUUUGUUCCCAAACUAGCAUUUAAAGCCCAAAGUCACAAAAAUAGAUUUUUUUAAAGAGGUAAAUAUACACUUAUACUUGG